GAUGAAGAACGCAGCGUAAUGCGAUAAGUAAUGUGAAUUGCAGAAUUCAGUGAAUCAUCGAAUCUUUGAACGCACAUUGCGCCCCCUGGUAUUCCGGGGGGCAUGCCUGUUCGAGCGUCAUUUCAACCCUCAAGCUCUGCUUGGUAUUGAGUCCAUGUCAGCAAUGGCAGGCUCCAAAAUCAGUGGCGGCGCCGCUGGGUCCUGAACGUAGUAAUAUCUCUCGUUACAGGUGCUCGGCGUGCUUCUGCCAAAACCCCAAUUUUUCUAUGGUUGACCUCGGAUCAGGUAGGGAUACCCGCUGAACUUAAGCAUAUCAAUAAGCGGAGGA
rnacentral:misc_RNA from 1 species